AAGGACUGGUGGAGCGCUUAGAAGUGAGAAUGCCGGUAUGAGUAGCGAAAGAUGGGUGAGAAUCCCAUCCACCGAAUGCCUAAGGUUUCCUGAGGAAGGCUCGUCCGCUCAGGGUUAGUCGGGACCUAAGCCGAGGCUGAAAAGCGUAGGCGAUGGACAACAGGUUGAUAUUCCUGUACCACCAAACUCCGUUUGAGCAAUGGGGGGACGCAGGAGGAUAGGGUAAGCGCACUGCUGGAUAUGUGCGUCUAAGCAGUUAGGCUGCAAGCGAGGAAAAUCCCGUUUGCGUGAAGGCUGAGCUGUGACAGCGAGGGAAAUAUAGUACCGAAGUUCCUGAUUCCACACUGCCAAGAAAAGCCUCUAGCGAGGAUAAGGUGCCCGUACCGCAAACCGACACAGGUAGGCGAGGAGAGAAUCCUAAGGUGAGCGAGAGAACUCUCGUUAAGGAACUCGGCAAAAUGACCCCGUAACUUCGGGAGAAGGGGUGCUCUUUGGGGUGUUAAAGCCUCGAAGAGCCGCAGUGAAUAGGCCCAGGCGACUGUUUAGCAAAAACACAGGUCUCUGCGAAGCCGCAAGGCGAAGUAUAGGGGCUGACGCCUGCCCGGUGCUGGAAGGUUAAGAGGAGGGGUUAGCGCAAGCGAAGCUCUGAAUUGAAGCCCCAGUAAACGGCGGCCGUAACUAUAACGGUCCUAAGGUAGCGAAAUUCCUUGUCGGGUAAGUUCCGACCCGCACGAAAGGCGUAACGAUCUGGGCACUGUCUCAACGAGAGACUCGGUGAAAUUAUAGUACCUGUGAAGAUGCAGGUUACCCGCGACAGGACGGAAAGACCCCGUGGAGCUUUACUGUAGCCUGAUAUUGAAUUUCGGUACAGCUUGUACAGGAUAGGUAGGAGCCUUGGAAGCCGGAGCGCCAGCUUCGGUGGAGGCAUCGGUGGGAUACUACCCUGGCUGUAUUGAAAUUCUAACCCAUGCCCCUGAUCGGGGCAGGAGACAGUGUCAGGUGGGCAGUUUGACUGGGGCGGUCGCCUCCUAAAAAGUAACGGAGGCGCCCAAAGGUUCCCUCAGAAUGGUUGGAAAUCAUUCGAAGAGUGUAAAGGCAUAAGGGAGCUUGACUGCGAGACCUACAAGUCGAGCAGGGACGAAAGUCGGGCUUAGUGAUCCGGUGGUUCCGCAUGGAAGGGCCAUCGCUCAACGGAUAAAAGCUACCCCGGGGAUAACAGGCUUAUCUCCCCCAAGAGUCCACAUCGACGGGGAGGUUUGGCACCUCGAUGUCGGCUCAUCGCAUCCUGGGGCUGUAGUCGGUCCCAAGGGUUGGGCUGUUCGCCCAUUAAAGCGGUACGCGAGCUGGGUUCAGAACGUCGUGAGACAGUUCGGUCCCUAUCCGUCGUGGGCGCAGGAAAUUUGAGAGGAGCUGUCCUUAGUACGAGAGGACCGGGAUGGACGCACCGCUGGUGUACCAGUUGUUCUGCCAAGAGCAUCGCUGGGUAGCUAUGUGCGGAAGGGAUAAGUGCUGAAAGCAUCUAAGCAUGAAGCCCCCCUCGAGAUGAGAUUUCCCAUAGCGUCAAGCUAGUAAGACCCCUGAAAGAUGAUCAGGUUGAUAGGUUUGAGGUGGAAGC
rnacentral:rRNA from 1 species